UACGUAGGGCGCAAGCGUUGUCCGGAUUUAUUGGGCGUAAAGAGCUCGCAGGCGGCUUGUUGCGUCGACUGUGAAAACCCGCGGCUCAACCGUGUGGUCUGCAGUCGAUACGGGCAGGCUAGAGUUCGGUAGGGGAGACUGGAAUUCCUGGUGUAGCGGUGAAAUGCGCAGAUAUCAGGAAGAACACCCGUGGCUAAGGCGGCUCUCUAGUACGGUACUGACGCUGAGACGCGAAAGCGUGGGGAGCGAACAGG
rnacentral:rRNA from 1 species